CAGCGGAAUUCAUUCCGCUCAACCCUAAGGGUGUAGACUUAUUUUAUUUAGCACUUCAAAGAAAAAAUGAAGGCCGUCUAGCCUUCCUCGACCGCGGCACGCCCCCUUUUCCUCAGACUUAUUUUUGCUCUGUUACAAGUAACACGCGUAUAUAGAAUGUCUAUAGAUAUCGCCCAUCGUUUUGUGAAUUUUUCGAUGGCCAGUUUUUCGAGCCACGUUGCUUUUUCGAACAACCUAGGCUCGAGUGCGAUAGAACACACGAUCGUGAAUUGCGUAGCCGUCCUCCAUCAUCACCAAUCAUCUUGAUUUUCAAGUAAGACCCCGCUCACCCGUCGCUCUUUCUCGUUCGAUUUUCGUUACGUUCACCGCUGCUGGACAAGUACAAUCUUGACGUUUCUGUUUUUUGGGACCUGAGGGUUUCGGCCUUGUGCCCCCUUUCGACGACCGUUUCGUGGGAGUCAAUCAGGUCAGCAGUAGCCGGCGCGACGACAAGAGAGGGUAUGCAGAAACGGUUUCUAUUGGUAUAGCUAGCGACGACGGUUGCUGCUAUGAUGAUGAUGGUUACAGCUAUCGUUUCGACCAAGAUGGUUUCAUUGCGAUACAGAGACUGGCUUAUCGUUAUGGCGAUGGGAGAGACGUUCGUUUUAGUCGCGUAGAACUAGAAUUGCGAGACCAACGCGUUAGAUAAUCGUUCCCCCUACCCCAACGAGUACCGGAACAAUUUCCUCUCUUGCAGAAAAGACUUCGCUUGCUAUCGUACCGAUCAGCGAUCAAGUGGUUCACGAGGAGCAAGACCACUCUGAUAGAAAGUAGUAGUAGGCUGUUGCCUACCAGAAGAGCGAGUAGUUGAAGAAAAGGAGCAGUAAGGGCGGAAGCCACAUCUUGUGCGACAGCGGCCACAGCUAGUGAUUCGGCAGCAGUACGGGAGGUAGUGGAUCUAGUUCCGGCCCCUGUAGAAGACCGAGUAGUCACAGCACCAUUUGAGGAGGUGAUGCUCCCCAGUAUCUCAGGUUCGCGACCACCUUCAGCUCCUAAAACCAUCUCCGUUGAGAUUUAAAUUUUUUAGGACGACCGUGCUGAUCCACCGACAUGUCGAAAGCAAUCUCGAAAGAGUUUUCUCUCGAUGAUGCGACACCAACUUUUCUUUGAUAACUUCCCAAGCUUGAGGUGGAGGGAUUGGAUUACUUUUUUAAGAUGGUGGGUCGGAUAAUUGGAUUACCCGCCGGGUUCUCCUAAAAUCGUACAAGACCUCGCUAAAAUCUAUCAACGCAGAACAUGAGUCGUUGCUUAUAGCUGUAAUUAAAACUAUGUAUAGGCCUAUCGCGCAGACACUUGCGGACCUUUACACUCAGCUGCGUUCCCUGCCGGACAAGUAAGCGGUUAAGAGCCAGUGCAGGUCGUUCCCCAGCAAUAGGGACGCGCUUAUGCUUUCAUAACCAGAGAGCGUCGGAAUGCGGUGAUCGCGUUCGCCGAGCCGUCGGCAAACUAUUUUUUGGAUGAUUCAAAACGCGUUCGACACAGGCAGAAAGCGCGCUUCUUUCUGCCGAGCAUUCUGCCUACCAACAGAUUCUUAUAAGCAGCGCUGAACAUCCUGGCUCAAGCAUCGGGAGUAGCCGCGGCGGCCGCUGCUGCCAAUGCCCCGAGGCGUUCGAAUAUUAGGCGGGUGCGUUUCGAGCCACCUAAUAUUUCGUCUCAAUCGCGACAGCGUUUCAAGCCAGAACCGAUAGUUAGCUUGAACAUUCGCUCCAUCGCUUGACUACAAGAAAGUCGCGGAGGUAUGACGGUACGUUUCAUUCAAUCCAGCCUUUUGAUUUCUUGAAAGACGAUUAAAGAUCCGCACCUUAACUUUUAAUCACAGUGGGAGUGCCUUGGCGCUUCUGUUGUUGUUUAAAAAGAUGGCCUAGUAUCUGGCUUAACAAGGCUUCAAGAUUUUUAAUUAUUACCACAAAUCAGAGCCUUUUUGGCGACGACGUUCGUUUUAAUCACCACCACGUUGUGUUACGGACCAGAUCCGGUCGUUUGAGGUGGAGAAGGCAGGCGGAGUAGAAUAGCGGGCCAUCGCAGUGGUUAUCGCUCCAUCGCUUGCCUCCAAAAAAGCCGGAAGUACGUUACACGAAUCCGAACCCUUGGCUUCUUGAAAAAAAAAAAAAAAACGAUCCCUGAACGUUAAAUCUUGAUCGCAGCGGAAGUGCCUCGGGGGCUUCUGUUGUCCUUAAAUAUCGCCUAGUAACUGUCGCAUCAAAGCUCCCGGAUUUUUCAUUUCAAUUUUUAAACUAUAACGAAUUAGAGCCUUUUUUGCGAUGACGUUUCAAUCACCGCCACGUUGCUCGAGGUGGAGAAGGCAGGCGGAGUAGAAUAGCGGGCCAUCGCCGUGGUCAUCGCUCCAUCGCCUGUUUCCUAAAAAAGGCGGAAGUACGCUACACAUAUCCGAACCCUCGACGUCUGGAAAGACAAUCAAGUCGUGCACCUUAAAUUAAUCUCAGCGGAAGUGCCUCGGGCUUCUGUCGUCAUUAGAAAAUUGCCUAAUAUCUGUCGCACCAAAGCUCCCAGAUUUUUCGUUCCAAAAAAUCUGAGCCAUUUUCAGUUUUGCGGUGACAAGUAUCCGACUUGUCCGAUAGGCAGAAGACAUUUUGAUCUUAAACGGGCCCAAAAAGCGAGCUGCGAGCGGUUAUUAAUACAGCUAUUGUUUACCCCUGCGCACUAGGCCGUCGGCCGAGUUGCCGUAAAUGAACUCGCGCGACGAAUUCGAACUCUUGAAGACGGCCAUCAAGUUGUGGACGUUGACUUAGACGUCGUCGUAGGACGAAAUGGGCUUACGUGCAACAGCUGUCGAUCCAGUUGAAGCCGCUGUGACUUUGCGCGUCAAAUCGAAGUAGGUUCCAAUCACGUUCACCUGCAAAAUGUCGCCGUGGGUGGCGCUUUCUAGUUUCGACCCGCUUUUGAAUGUCGCUUUCUUGGGCAAUGUGACGACGAAACCGUGGCCUACCAGUUGAACGACGACGGGUGCAGCAGCCGGUUGCUAUUCUGCCGGGCAGAUCGGCUUAACGCCUUUGCGGAUGACUUCUCGUUUGUCAAAGUAACCCGGCGUAGAAAUGACGGCCAUAAAGAAGCCCACCGUGUUGGGGCUGCUGGUGGUGGCAUUUUGGCACGACGCGAGGUCGAUCGGGUAGCCAGAAGACGUCACUUCCUUGAACACCAGCCGAAAUCGACUCGCAGCGGCCGGACGUUGCUCGGCAACGUCGCGAAUCGUGUCGGAUGCCGUAUCAAAUGUGUACUUUUUGAGUUGCGGGCCCCCGGGGAAAGCGCUGUGGCGCAAGUACCGACGAGAUGAUUGAGAAACAGGCGCGCGGCUGAGUCUCACCACGCUGCUGCUGAUUUCAGCUUUCAACCGACUAUCAACAGUCUCAGCAUCGGUUGCGUUGGAUCCUGUUCUUUUCUGAGUAACUCGGUGGAGAUUAGCUAGACAGCUACGCUAAAAAGGCGGCGGAUCGAUUUCCGCCGCUCUCACAACCGUUUGGGCAAGGCGAGACGGAUUGAAGCUGAAGCGAGAAGCUAAAGCUAGCGAUUCGGAUUAGACACUGCCAUGAUCUCUCGUUUUCUAGAGGUAUGGAGUUAUACGCCGAUAUGUCACCGCUUCCUGGAACAUAUCAUUCUUCAAAUUAUCCGGAACCGGCGCUCGGAAUUUAGUCGCCUGGUAGCUCGCAGCCGCUCGCAGCAGGUGAUCGUACGACGGGCAAGUUCUAUAUCAGCCAGAUAUCGAACCUCUCCUGGCGGAUGUGUUGACCAGUUGUUGAUCAAUUGUGGUGUUUGUGGCGGAAUAUCGAUUCCUGAUGUAGCAAUUUAGACUCUGUACCAGUCUAGCCAGCCCAGUUGCACGCCAUGUCCAGUCUAAGCUUUCAGUUUAUGCCCUCGUCGGGCAGGAAUGAGCUUCUAUCGCCCACUUAUCCGGAAAAGUUAGUUCGGCCUACCCUGCUGGCUCUCACUACCUUGGUAAAGUUGCCCGAGAGAGCCUCCGUCACCUUCUCGUCGGCCAGACGGACAGAGAAUCAAAUUAGCCUCUCUCUCUUUUUGAGCCUCGCAAGGCACUGUGAAGGUCCGUUGCAAACUUUCACAUUUUCAGCAUGCCGAUCUCAACACCUUGCAAUAGCGACGUUACGAUUUCAUUUAAAUCGCGCGAGUAUCGGUAGACCACCGAUUAAAGAAGGCAAGUUGUCCAUCUCUCUCUUUUUCUCUUUUCGUGCCGUAUUCGGCAAGACAAUCAGUAGGUGGUUUUUAAACCGUUUCGUUAAAGGCCGGAAUUGAUGCGAAAAUAUACAUCGCCCACUUGGCGGGAAGUGAGGCUUCGUCACGUCACUGGCCGUUGUCAGUGGCCUUGCUUAUCAGUAGCGGCGUUACGAUUUGAUCUAAAUCGCGCAAGUAUCGGUAGACCACCGAUUUAAGAGGGCAGGUCGCCUAUCGCUCUCUUCGUCCUUUUUCGUGCCGUAAUUGGCAACUCAAUCUCAAAAGGGGCUGGAAUUUAUACUAAAAGAUGCAGAGCCCACUUGACGCAUAGUGCGGCUUCGUCACUGGCCGUUACCAGGGGCCUUUUUAUCGACAAAUUAUGGCAAGCGUACAUUUGGGCCAUCCAAAUAACGUUCAUAAGAUUCUACAAUCGCAGAACACCAGCAACAUUCGCAACAUCGGCUAUGGCCGAUGCUUAAGCUUUAAAGUCACCCUUAGGGUUGAGCGGAAUGAAUUCCGCUGUACAAUUGAAAAUUACCAGAGUGAUCGCUCAGCGAUCACGAUAGUUUGCUUAAUGUUGCAGCCUGCCUUAUCCCAGUGUCCAGCCGGACAGUCAAGCCAAGAAGGGCCGGAGAGGAGCGUUUCGAUUUCGAGCACCUCGUGAAGCGUGAAGGCGUGAAGGCGCACCAAAACUCAGCCCAACUUUGUUCUUUACGUUCAAUUAUGUUACGAAAGGCCAUGUCGGCCUAUUCUGUUUUUCUUGCAAUCGGCUUUUUCUGGCUAAUAGCCAGUUUUUUAUGCCUCGAUAUCUCUUGGUUCAUGUUACAUUCUUGUCAAAUGUUUUCUCAUGAAAUGUAAUUUUUUGACACGCGCACCCCCGUUAUUCUCAAAAUAAGUCUGAGGAAAAGGGGGCGUGCCGCGGUCGAGGAAGGCUAGACGGCCUUCAUUUUUUCUUUGAAGUGCUAAAUAAAAUAAGUCUACACCCUUA
rnacentral:lncRNA from 1 species